GCUUCACAAUUAUACAUCCGGUGAAAUCUGUCUCUUUGUUCUAUCUGUAAUAGUAACGUACAUGAUAUUACGAGUUGCUCGGUAGUACUCUGCGGCGUUUGCCUAUCCUGCUAGCGAACAUAAAACGAUUUCCCCAAGAUGCUCAGUCAGAGCCUUGUCAGCUCCAGAUUUGGCUACUUCAACUCACACCCUGCUGGAAUCCCUGCAUUCUCAGAUUCCCCUCCACUGAUUUGCACCCUGGAUGGCCUCCCUAUUGCAGCUCACAUUAUGUUCAGGAUUCUAAUUCUAGCCUACAGGCCCAGAAAAUGACCAGCUCCUUAAUACCUCUUGGUCUGGAUAAAGUGAUGUACUGUUUUUCUUUUUCUGUGAUCUACAAUUGUGUCAAUCUUGAAGUUGUCUUCUCCUUAAUAAUUCAGUGGACAAUCACCAAGUCUUUGCUGUGUACGGUUGCCUAAUUGGUUGAAUGAGUUGAGCUGCAGGCAUCAUAACUGCAAAGUCCCUUGCUGUUUGUAAAUGCUGAUUCAAUAACCACCUAACCACUUUGAUUCUGAUUUACUUUUGGUCUUGGAAUACACUUCUACAUGUUGCUCUAUGUUUAUAAUAAAAACAUAUGUUUGUUGUGCUUUUACUCUAGCAGUGAACAGGUUAGGUAGCAGUUUUCUACAUAUUGCAUAUAAUUGACUGUAUAUGUUACAUAGAACAUGGUAGAUUAUCAUGUAAUACGACAUCUACCAUAACAUGUAUUUAUGGUUUCAGCAAAUACUGUACAAAUUGAUAACUUCAGAAAUAUUUGAUGUGCUAAAGGUACAUUGAUUCUCCCCUGAUCCUUUUCAAAUACGGUCAAAGAUGUUAUCAUGAGAGAAGAAAUAGCAGUCACUCUCCUCCAACACUGGUAUGUUCAAUUUAUAAUUCAAUAUAAUUGUAGAUAAAAUAAAAAUUUAUAAGGAUCUUUCAAGGUUAUCAUUGAUCCAACUUCUGACUAGAUGGCCACUAAAACACAUGCAUUUAAAUAAUUAUGUUACAAGAAACCUAUACUAUUCCCCUGUUCCCUGUUUGCUCUGAAAAAUACAUGUAGAGAUGUAUAGACUACUUGACAUGUUUUGCUACAUGACCUGAGCCAACUGUGCCGCUUCUGUGGGGAGGUGGACAAUAAUGAGGAAGACACUAACUGGGUAAUUGCUUGUUCACUUCUAAAGGCACAUUUUAGGAGUACGAAUUUGUAUAAGCAGUAAUAUUUACAGGAGGUAGUAUCAUCCACUUUGUCUGAAAAUGAAAUCAUUGUAAUUCAAGAAAAUAUAUUUAAUGUUUUAAAUAUA